AAGACUCAAACCCAAAACCUUGAGGUACACUAACACCCACUCAACCACCAGACCAGUAGGCCCAUUCUGUCACUUAGACGGCAACUAAACACAAUAACACAACAUACUAACUGAUUAUAACCACAAACCUCAAAAAUUCUAGCCUAGAAUUUGGGGUGUUACAAUCCACCACUCCUUAAAAAAAUGUUAUCCCCGAAAUUUCCAACUAAUAGAAUAGUGAUCUAACACAAGCUAUACCACCACACCCCCAUUGCACAUUCUAGCCCAAACAGUACCAUAC
rnacentral:lncRNA from 1 species